AUGGGGUGGAACCAGCUUGGCUCUGCCUUCCUGAGCUGUCAAAGUGCAACUGAGGAAGCUGGACUCAUUUCAGCGAGGCGGGGUGAUUUCCUCGCCACAGAAAAGUCGGAGAGCAGAAAGUCAGAAAGGAACCACCCCUGCCUCCUGGAGAUUCCCACGUCCCGCAGAAGCCAAAAGCCACGGUUAGGUAGCCAGGAAGCUUUUAGGGAGGUCGUGGAGAGAAGAGAACGGGGAUGAAGACCCUCAGCUUUGAGAAUCCCACUUUGAAGGAAAAAAAAUUACGAGGCCGUGAGUAGUAUGUUCGAUCGCUGCGCGCAGAGGGUGAUGGUCCAUUCAGUGACCUAUAAAUAUAUGGAUUUACAUUUCUGAAAUCUUUCCACAACGAGGCAUUUAAAUUAAUUUAGUUCUCCACAGAUUGAAUCCGCUUCUGUGGGAUAUUUUGCUUUAAAAACUCCUGUUCUUGGACCUCCAACCUACUUGACGGUCAAUCAAGUUCCGGCUUCUUCGCUGUCAUUGUGUUCCGCUCUUGCCUCUUGUUGUUCAGACUCCUUUUGAGUGCUGAAUCUCCCAUUUCUUCCAUCCAAAAUAUUUUAAACAGCAG
rnacentral:lncRNA from 1 species